GCUGUUCCAGGUCAAGGCAGCAAUGAACGUCUAGAGAGGGAGGCAAUGCUGACAAAUGAAGUGACAACAGAUGGCGCUAGCAGCACUUCCUCGGACUCUGGUCAAGGCAGCAAUGAACGUCUAGAGAGGGAGGCAAUGCUGACAAAUGAAGCCAUUGGGGAGUGACUGACAACGCAUUCAAAUCCAGCAAAGAACGUGUGAUUUUGCUUUGUUAACAAAUAUUGUCAAUCUAGAUGUGYUCAUUCCCAAGCAUUAAUAAUUUUGAUCCGAUUGGCUUGGAUAUGAAAAACGUAUUUAUUAACAUUUUGAUCUUUUGAAUAUCGUAGUGGAAUUCCUUGUUUGAAUAAAAUUUACCAAAUUAUUUUUCAACAAAUAGAUUGGUAAAUCCAUCAAUAUGUUGAACAUUUGAAUUGAUUGGUAUUGGAACCAUUAGGCUAUUUCUAUUGUAGAUUGAAAUGAUUGGUUUCUAGUUUAAAAAAUAAUAUUUUUUUGCGCACACACACACACACGCUGAACUGCUUUUAAAAUAUGUUUUGUUUUUGUUUUUUAUGGAAAGUAUAAUAAAUAAAUAAUUAAUAAAGGACUGCUUUGAACCAAUG